AACGAACGCUGGCGGCAUGCCUAACACAUGCAAGUCGAACGCGUGUAGCAAUACACGAGUGGCGGACGGGUGAGUAACGCGUGGGAACCUGCCCAGUGGUAGGGAAUAACUGCGGGAAACUGCAGCUAAUACCCUAUACGCCCUUUGGGGGAAAGAUUCAUCGCCAUUGGAGGGGCCCGCGUCGGAUUAGCUAGUUGGCGGGGUAACGGCCCACCAAGGCAACGAUCCGUAGCUGGUCGAGAGGAUGAUCAGCCACACUGGGACUGAGAUACGGCCCAGACUCCUACGGGAGGCAGCAGUGGGGAAUAUUGGACAAUGGGGGAAACCCUGAUCCAGCAAUGCCGCGUGAGUGAAGAAGGCCUUGGUUGUAAG
rnacentral:rRNA from 1 species